GCUCUGCAUUGUUCCAGGGCUUGAUGCAAUUAGCACAUAAACAGGAUCAUCUGGAGAACCUUACCAUCUAUAAGGGAUUCCUCUUCCACUUGGAUUCUGUUAUGUUCAUCCUCCAUUACAGUGGUGAACACCUUUGUAAAGGCAUCCGAGGGUUCUUGAACACCAUCAUGUGAGAUUGGAAAGGAAAGGAAGAUAGGCCAGUCCAAGCAACAUGAAGGCAAUAGGCCACAGGGUAUGUUCAUCUGGGCCAUAACUUAUAAAGCAGAAAGAGUGCUAAUAUGAGCCAAGACUGAAUAGAGAGUAUUCCACUGGACGGUGGAGAAUCUUCUUUAAAUGCCAAAGAUUGUUCAAGCAGCACUAAGCAGCAUGGAUUGAAGAGGGGAAAGAGUGGAGAUGAGGAGACUUAUGGGAAAGCUACUACUGUAGUACAGCUGGGCAGUGGUGAGAUUGUCAUGCAAGGAAUUCCAAGCAGCUUCUGUAAUUCUCUUCAGUUGAUCUGGAAACAUCACUUGUUCAGUAGUCAUUGGUAUGGUGUAUAAAAUCUUUAUCUAGAAUAAAAAUUCUGAUUACCAAAAGCCUUUCUGACUUUCAGGAUCUAAGUUAGAAGAAGCACCUAUUUAGUUGUGUUCUAAUUGACUGGCAUCACCCACCUAGCUUAGCAAGCCCAAAGUUAGGCUUUUGCUACAUCCUGUGAGAUCAUAUCCAAUGGAUCACAAAGCUGAAAGGGGCCUUAAUGAAGUAGUCUUUAAGCUACCUUAUCUUCUGCCAUCUUACAAAUGAGGAAAUUGAGACUGAGAGAAGCUAUUUGCCAUAAGAAAUGAUAAGCAAGAUAAUUUCAGAAAAAUUUAGAAAUAUCUUCAGGAACUGGUACAGAGCAAAAUAAGCAGAACCAAGAGAAUAUUGUACAGAGUAACAGCAAUAUUGUAUGAUGAUCAACUGUGAAGAUUUGGCUACACUCAGCAAUGUGAUGAUCUGGGACAAUACUGAAAAGGGAAUGCUAUCCAUUUGCAGAAAAAGAUCUGUUGGAGUUGGAUGGAUGUGGAUUAAAGCAUACUUUCACAUCAAUUAGUUAUGGUUUUAUCUGGGGAUUUUCAUUUUGUAUGAGUGUACUCUUACAACAAUAACCAAUAUAGAAAUUUGUUUUGCAUGAUAAUAAAAAUAAAAAUUUAAAAACAGUCAUUCUUUGAGAAAAAAAUACUAUGUUUUAACAAUAAACUCAUAGAUUGAUUUUACU